AGGCGUAUAGCUCAGCCGGUAGAGCAGCGGUCUCCAAAACCGCAGGUCGUGGGUUCGAAACCUACUGCGCCUG
rnacentral:tRNA from 1 species